AGUGAACGCUGGCGGUAGGCCUAACACAUGCAAGUCGAACGGCAGCACAGUAAGAGCUUGCUCUUACGGGUGGCGAGUGGCGGACGGGUGAGGAAUACAUCGGAAUCUCCUUUUUCGUGGGGGAUAACGUAGGGAAACUUACGCUAAUACCGCAUACGACCUACGGGUGAAAGCAGGGGAACUUCGGACCUUGCGCGAUCGAAUGAGCCGAUGUCGGAUUAGCUAGUAGGCGGGGUAAAGGCCCACCAAGGCGACGAUCCGUAGCUGGUCUGAGAGGAUGGUCAGCCACACUGGAACUGAGACACGGUCCAGACUCCUACGGGAGGCAGCAGUGGGGAAUAUUGGACAAUGGGGGAAAGCCUGAUCCAGCAAUACCGCGUGGGUGAAGAAGGCCUUCGGGUUGUAAAGCCCUUUUGUUGGGAAAGAAAAGCAGCAGGUUAAUACCCCGCUGUUCUGACGGUACCCAAAGAAUAAGCACCGGCUAACUUCGUG
rnacentral:rRNA from 1 species